UCCCUGGUGGUCUAAAGGUUAAGACUCUGCACUUACAAUGCAGGGGGCUCAGGUUUGAUCCCUGGCUGGGAAA
rfam:Ovis aries breed Texel chromosome 2, whole genome shotgun sequence.